rnacentral:lncRNA from 1 species
CCCAGUAUAUCCCAGUAUAACCCAGUAUAUCCCAGUAUAAACCAGUAUAACCCAGUAUAUCCCAGUAUAACCCAGUAUAACCUAGUAUAACCCAGUAUAUCCCAUUAUAUCCCAUUAUAUCCCAUUAUAUCCCACCAGCCAAUGAGAUCGCGAGAAAGCAUUUGAUUGACAUUUAAAGACAGGCCUCCUAAUCCCUCCCCCCCUGCGGUUUGUAACCAAUGAAAUCGCGAGAAAGCAUUUGAUUGACAUUUAAAGACGGGCCUCCUAAUCCCGCCCCCCCUGCGAUUUAUAACCAAUGAAAAGCGAGAUCUGCUUAAUCCCACCCCCUUAACGCAUUAUUAACCAAUGAGAAGCAUCCACAUGGACAUUGAUCCCACCCCUUUUUCUCCUCGACCAAUCAGAAGAGGCGGCCUCAAGCGAGCGGCUCUCAAGUCUGUUUCCGCCUCUCAUUCCACUUCCGGCGCUCGAACAGCGCGGAGCUCCGUGUGGAGAACCGGAAAGUGACGGCGGAAACGGAAGCUUGAAGAGGCGCUUCCUGUUUCCGGUGCUAGGACCGGAAGUGGAGGGGUUAGUCCGAUCCAAGAUGGCGGCGGCGGUGGAGGAGGAAGAGAACAACGAGGCGGCGGGGGAUGAAGGAGGAGACGAGGCCGCCAUUAAAGAGAUGGAGGUGGGGGCGGGGCUAAAGGGAAAUGGGGCGGAGCUUGAGGGGGAGUGGGCGGGGCUUCGGGACGCGAUUUGAUUGGUCGAAGGAGGGGAAAGGGGCGGGGCUUAGAACCCGGAAGUGGGACCCAUGGAGACCCAUAGAGACCCAUAGAGACCCAUAGAGACACAUAGGGAUCCAUUGAGACCCAUAGGGACACAUAGAGACCCAUAGGGACCCAUAGGGAACCAUAGAGACCCAUAGAGACACAUAGAGACCCAUAGGGACCCAUAGGGACCCCAUAGAGACCCAAUAGAGACCCAUAGGGACCUGUAGAGACCCAUAGAGACCCCAUAGGGACCCAUAGGGACCCAUAGGGACCCAUAGAGACCCAUAGGGACCCAUAGNNNNNNNNNNNNNNNNNNNNGACCCAUAGGGACCCAUAGAGACCCAUAGAGACCCAUAGGGACCCAUAGAGACCCCAUAGAGACCCAUAGAGACCCAUAGGGACCCAUUGAAACCCAUAGAGACCCCAUAGAGACCCAUAGGGACACAUAGGGACCCAUAAAGUCCCAUAGGGACCCAUAGAGACUCAUAGAGACCCAUAGAGACCCAUAGGGACCCAUAAGGACCCAUAGAGACCCAAUAGAGACCCGUAGAGACCCAUAGGGACCCAUAGGGACCCAUGGAGACCCAUAGGGACCCAUUGAAACCCAUAGAGACCCCAUAGAGACCCCAUAGGGACCCAUGGAGACCCAUGGAGACCCAUAAAGACACAUAGGGACCCAUAAGGACCCAUAGGGACCCAUAGAGACCCAUAGGGACCCAUAGGGACCCAUAGAGACCCAUAGGGACCCAUAGGGACCCAUAGACACCCAUUGACCCCAUAGGAACCAAUGGGGACCCAUAGGGGGCGUGGCCUCGAAGGGGGCGUGGCUUGGAGAAGGGGGCGUGGCUUGAGCGAGGU